AGCACUUUCCAUCAACCAUCCCUGAAAAAUUCAGAACGCAAGACUCAGAUAUUGGUAUUUUCAUUUGAACAGUUGUGCGGAGUGGACAGCUUGAGUAGAUAUGACAACAAACCCUUGGAAAUCAAAACUAAUUUUUUUCUUUUUCAAUUGAACGUUUUUGAAAUGAUUCAAACUGAUCGGAUUACUAUGACAUCACAAGUUUGUUUUAUCAAUUUCUGUAAAUUGUUCUAUUGUCGGGCCGUCAAUUUUACUUUAACGUUGACCUACUCAACAAAAAUA